GGGUCACUGGCGCACGGGUGCGGAACACGUAGGCAAUCUGCCCUUUGGGGGAAGACAACCUGUCGAAAGAUAGGCUAAACUUCCGUAAUAUCUCGAGUAGGCAUCUAUUUGAGAUCAAAUUUUCCAGAGGAUGAGCCUGCGUCUGAUUAGCUAGUUGGUAGUGUAACGGACUACCAAGGCUUCGAUCAGUAGCUGGUCUGAGAGGAUGAUCAGCCACAUUGGGACUGAGAUACGGCCCAGACUCCUACGGGAGGCAGCAGUGAGGAAUAUUGCUCAAUGGGGGAAACCCUGAAGCAGCAACGCCGCGUGAGGGAUGAAGGCGCUUUGCGUUGUAAACCUCUGUAGUCGGAGACAAAACUCUCUCUACCGAGAGAUUGAUGGUAUCCGAAAAGUAAGGAUCGGCUAACUACGUGCCAGCCGCCGCGGUAA
rnacentral:rRNA from 1 species